rnacentral:rRNA from 1 species
CCUACGGGAGGCAGCAGUGGGGAAUUUUGGACAAUGGGCGCAAGCCUGAUCCAGCAAUGCCGCGUGAGUGAAGAAGGCCUUCGGGUUGUAAAGCUCUUUUGUCAGGGAAGAAACGGUGGUUCCUAAUAUGGACUACUAAUGACGGUACCUGAAGAAUAAGCACCGGCUAACUACGUGCCAGCAGCCGCGGUAAUACGUAGGGUGCAAGCGUUAAUCGGAAUUACUGGGCGUAAAGCGUGCGCAGGCGGUUAUAUAAGUCAGAUGUGAAAUCCCCGGGCUCAACCUGGGAACUGCAUUUGAGACUGUAUGGCUAGAGUGUGUCAGAGGGGGGUAGAAUUCCACGUGUAGCAGUGAAAUGCGUAGAUAUGUGGAGGAAUACCGAUGGCGAAGGCAGCCCCCUGGGAUAACACUGACGCUCAUGCACGAAAGCGUGGGGAGCAAACAGGAUUAGAUACCCUGGUAGUCCACGCCCUAAACGAUGUCUACUAGUUGUCGGGACUUAAUUGUCUUGGUAACGCAGCUAACGCGUGAAGUAGACCGCCUGGGGAGUACGGUCGCAAGAUUAAAACUCAAAGGAAUUGACGG